rnacentral:rRNA from 1 species
AUAUUCCUGUACCACCUAUAAUCGUUUUAAUCGAUGGGGGGACGCAGUAGGAUAGGCGAAGCGUGCGAUUGGAUUGCACGUCUAAGCAGUAAGGCUGAGUAUUAGGCAAAUCCGGUACUCAUUAAGGCUGAGCUGUGAUGGGGAGAAGACAUUGUGUCUUCGAGUCGUUGAUUUCACACUGCCGAGAAAAGCCUCUAGAUAGAAAAUAGGUGCCCGUACCGCAAACCGACACAGGUAGUCAAGAUGAGAAUUCUAAGGUGAGCGAGCGAACUCUCGUUAAGGAACUCGGCAAAAUGACCCCGUAACUUCGGGAGAAGGGGUGCUCUUUAGGGUUAACGCCCAGAAGAGCCGCAGUGAAUAGGCCCAAGCGACUGUUUAUCAAAAACACAGGUCUCUGCUAAACCGUAAGGUGAUGUAUAGGGGCUGACGCCUGCCCGGUGCUGGAAGGUUAAGAGGAGUGGUUAGCUUCUGCGAAGCUACGAAUCGAAGCCCCAGUAAACGGCGGCCGUAACUAUAACGGUCCUAAGGUAGCGAAAUUCCUUGUCGGGUAAGUUCCGACCCGCACGAAAGGCGUAACGAUUUGGGCACUGUCUCAACGAGAGACUCGGUGAAAUCAUAGUACCUGUGAAGAUGCAGGUUACCCGCGACAGGACGGAAAGACCCCGUGGAGCUUUACUGUAGCCUGAUAUUGAAAUUCGGCACAGCUUGUACAGGAUAGGUAGGAGCCUUUGAAACGUGAGCGCUAGCUUACGUGGAGGCGCUGGUGGGAUACUACCCUAGCUGUGUUGGCUUUCUAACCCGCACCACUUAUCGUGGUGGGAGACAGUGUCAGGCGGGCAGUUUGACUGGGGCGGUCGCCUCCUAAAAGGUAACGGAGGCGCUCAAAGGUUCCCUCAGAAUGGUUGGAAAUCAUUCAUAGAGUGUAAAGGCAUAAGGGAGCUUGACUGCGAGACCUACAAGUCGAGCAGGGUCGAAAGACGGACUUAGUGAUCCGGUGGUUCCGCAUGGAAGGGCCAUCGCUCAACGGAUAAAAGCUACCCCGGGGAUAACAGGCUUAUCUCCCCCAAGAGUUCACAUCGACGGGGAGGUUUGGCACCUCGAUGUCGGCUCAUCGCAUCCUGGGGCUGUAGUCGGUCCCAAGGGUUGGGCUGUUCGCCCAUUAAAGCGGUACGCGAGCUGGGUUCAGAACGUCGUGAGACAGUUCGGUCCCUAUCCGUCGUGGGCGUAGGAAAUUUGAGAGGAGCUGUCCUUAGUACGAGAGGACCGGGAUGGACAUACCUCUGGUGUACCAGUUGUCGUGCCAACGGCAUAGCUGGGUAGCUAUGUGUGGACGGGAUAAGUGCUGAAAGCAUCUAAGCAUGAAGCCCCCCUCAAGAUGAGAUUUCCCAACUUCGGUUAUAAGAUCCCUCAAAGAUGAUGAGGUUAAUAGGUUCGAGGUGGAAGCAUGGUGACAUGUGGAGCUGACGAAUACUAA